CAGUCGCCGCGGUAAUACGAAGGGUGCAAGCGUUGUCCGGAUUUAUUGGGCGUAAAGCGAGCGCAGGCGGUUAGAUAAGUCCGAAGUUAAAGGCUGUGGCUUAACCAUAGUACGCUUUGGAAACUGUUUAACUUGAGUGCAGAAGGGGAGAGUGGAAUUCCAUGUGUAGCGGUGAAAUGCGUAGAUAUAUGGAGGAACACCGGUGGCGAAAGCGGCUCUCUGGUCUGUAACUGACGCUGAGGCUCGAAAGCGUGGGGAGCAAACAGGAUUAGAUACCCGCGUAGUCCCUGUCUCUUAUACA
rnacentral:rRNA from 1 species